CCUACGGGUGGCUGCCGUGGGGAAUCUUGCACCAUGGGCGAACCCCUGCCGCCGCAACGCCGCGUGAGUGAAGAAGCAUUUCGGUAUGUAAAGCUCUAUCAGCAGGGAAGAAGAUGACGGUACCUGAGUAAGAAGCCCCGGCUAACUACGUGCCAGCAGCCGCGGUAAUACGUAGGGGGCAAGCGUUAUCCGGAUUUACUGGGGGUAAAGGGAGCGUAGACGGUGAGGAAAGUCUGGAGUGAAAGCCCGGGGCUGAACCCCGGGACUGCUUUGGAGAGUUGCUGGCUGGAAUGCGGGAGAGGCAAGAGGAAUUCCUGGUGUAGCGGUGAAAUGCGUAGAUAUUAGGAAGAACACCAGUGGCGAAGGCGGCUUGCUGGACAGUAACUGACGUUGAGGCUCGAAAGCGUGGGGAGCAAACAGGAUUAGAUACCCCAGUAGUC
rnacentral:rRNA from 1 species